UGGGGAAUCUUGGACAAUGGGGGCAACCCUGAUCCAGCGACGCCGCGUGGGUGAAGAAGGCCUUAGGGUUGUAAACCCCUUUCGCCGGGGAAGAUGAUGACGGUACCGCCGGAAGAAGCCCCGGCUAACUCCGUGCCAGCAGCCGCGGUAAGACGGAGGGGGCAAGCGUAGUCCGGACUCACUGGGCGUAAAGGGCGCGCAGGCGGGACGGCGCGUCGGCGCUGAAAGCGCCCGGCUUAACCGGGCGCGGCGCGGCGAUACGACCGACCUGGAGGCAGGCAGAGGGUGGCGGAAUUCCGGGUGUAGUGGUGAGAUGCGUAGAGAUCCGGAGGAACGCCUGUGGCGCAAGCGGCCGCCUGGGCCUGACCUGACGCUGAGGCGCGAAAGCGUGGGGAGCGAACCGGAUUAGAUACCCCUGUAGUCC
rnacentral:rRNA from 1 species